rnacentral:rRNA from 1 species
UUACCAGGCCUUGACAUGCAGAGAACUUUCCAGAGAUGGAUUGGUGCCUUCGGGAACUCUGACACAGGUGCUGCAUGGCUGUUGUCAGCUCGUGUCGUGAGAUGUUGGGUUAAGUCCCGUAACGAGCGCAACCCUUGUCCUUAGUUACCAGCACGUUAUGGUGGGCACUCUAAGGAGACUGCCGGUGACAAACCGGAGGAAGGUGGGGAUGACGUCAAGUCAUCAUGGCCCUUACGGCCUGGGCUACACACGUGCUACAAUGGUCGGUACAAAGGGUUGCCAAGCCGCGAGGUGGAGCUAAUCCCAUAAAACCGAUCGUAGUCCGGAUCGCAGUCUGCAACUCGACUGCGUGAAGUCGGAAUCGCUAGUAAUCGUGAAUCAGAAUGUCACGGUGAAUACGUUCCCGGGCCUU